GAUGAACGCUAGCGGCAGGCCUAAUACAUGCAAGUCGAACGGUGUAGCAAUACACAGUGGCGCACGGGUGCGUAACACGUAUGCAACCUACCUUACAUUGGGGGAUAGCCUUUCGAAAGGGAGAUUAAUACCGCAUAAGACAGUAACUAGGCAUCUAGUAGCUGUUAAAGAUUUAUCGAUGUAAGCUGGGCAUGCGUCCAAUUAGUUAGUUGGCGAGGUAAUGGCUCACCAAGACGAUGAUUGGUAGGGGAACUGAGAGGUCAAUCCCCCACACUGGCACUGAGAUACGGGCCAGACUCCUACGGGAGGCAGCAGUAGGGAAUAUUGGGCAAUGGGCGCAAGCCUGACCCAGCCAUGCCGCGUGCAGGGAGACUGCCCUAUGGGUUGUAAACUGCUUUUAUUCGGGAAUAAACCUUAUUACGUGUAAUAAGCUGAAUGUACCGAAGGAAUAAGGAUCGGCUAACUCCGUGCCAGCCGCCGCCGUAAUAC
rnacentral:rRNA from 1 species